rnacentral:rRNA from 1 species
GACGAACGCUGGCGGCGUGCUUAACACAUGCAAGUCGAACGGAAAGGCCCUGCUUUUGUGGGGUGCUCGAGUGGCGAACGGGUGGGUAACACGUGAGUAACCUGCCCUUGACUUUGGGAUAACUUCAGGAAACUGGGGCUAAUACCGGAUAGGAGUUCCUGCUGCAUGGUGGGGGUUGGAAAGUUUCGGCGGUUGGGGAUGGACUCGCGGCUUAUCAGCUUGUUGGUGGGGUAGUGGCUUACCAAGGCUUUGCCGGGUAGCCGGCCUGAGAGGGUGACCGGCCACAUUGGGACUGAGAUACGGCCCAGACUCCUACGGGAGGCAGCAGUGGGGAAUAUUGCACAAUGGGCGGAAGCCUGAUGCAGCAACGCCGCGUGCGGGAUGACGGCCUUCGGGUUGUAAACCGCUUUCGCCUGUGACGAAGCGUGAGUGACGGUAAUGGGUAAAGAAGCACCGGCUAACUACGUG